rnacentral:rRNA from 1 species
GACGAACGCUGGCGGCGUGCUUAACACAUGCAAGUCGAGCGGAAAGGCACUUCGGUGGUACUCGAGCGGCGAACGGGUGAGUAACACGUGAGUAAUCUGCCCCUCACUUUGGGAUAGCCACCGGAAACGGUGAUUAAUACCGGAUAUGACCAUAUGUCGCAUGGCGUGUGGUGGAAAGUUUUUCGGUGAGGGAUGUGCUCGCGGCCUAUCAGCUUGAUGGUGAGGUAAUGGCUCACCAUGGCUUCGACGGGUAGCCGGCCUGAGAGGGUGACCGGUCACACUGGGACUGAGACACGGCCCAGACUCCUACGGGAGGCAGCAGUGGGGAAUAUUGGACAAUGGGCGGAAGCCUGAUCCAGCAACGCCGCGUGAGGGAUGACGGCCUUCGGGUUGUAAACCUCUUUCAGUACCGACGAAGCGCAAGUGACGGUAGGUACAGAAGAAGCACCGGCCAACUACGUG